AUUGGAGCUCUGGUUGAAAAAGGCCCUAAAGAUUUAUGUUAUACAACGUUUGACAUGUUUGAACGAACCUAAAUAAGAAAAAAAUGCAUUUUGUUGAAAGAGUAGCCCCGUGCACGUCGGAACUUUUGGUGCAGCCUUCAGAACGCGCUAACAACAACAAGCUAAUGGAACAUAAAGGAUGAACUUUUUCGAACAAAAAUACAUUUCUUGUGGAUCUGGGAUUCCUGGAAGUGCCUAAGGAUGAAGAUAAUCAAAGCCCAGCGUUGCCGAUCUUACUUUGCUACCUGACGGUUUUUUACUUUUUCAUUACCGUAUAUUUUUACUUUUUCCCUCACUCAACUUUUUUCAUUCAACUUUUUCACCCCGGAGGUUUUAUCUGGACAUGGUUCGUCA
rnacentral:lncRNA from 1 species